ACUAGCAGGAACGUGUGCAAAACAUAGCCCUUAGCAGGGCCCAGCCUUACUAAGAGGUCAUGUAUGCUCUGGGCAAGGCCAGGCUGGCUCUAUGGUCUGCAACUGUCAGCCUCACUACAGGGGCAGCAGGAACUGAGAGAAGAAGGGUUGAAGUCUCUGUUCCUCAGCUCCUCUGAGAAGCAGACGCCAAGAGCAGAUUAAACUGCAAGGGUUUUAGGAAGGAACAUAACAUUGUGAAAAUUAUGAAGGACUGGGUGAGCCAUCAGACCUUAAAGCAAGUAUCAGCCCUAGUGGGAAACAGAGGGGAAGAGGAUGGGCGGGACUGCACAGAACUGUAUUCUAAGGAAAAUCCAUGGUGCCUUUAGGGAGUCUUUGAAACAGCCAGCAAAUAAGUUCUGGGCGUGCCAGCAGCAAGUUGGCCUUAGCACCCCCACCACACUCGGUCAUCAGAGGAGAGCUGCCACGGGAUGCCCAUACCAGGUGGACACCUGGAGGGAGCAGCCCCGCCUGGAGGAGGUCAGGCACACAGAGUCCUAGGCACUGAGGUUGGGCACCACGGAUGGAAGUGCAGCUGAGAGAACCCUGAGGUUCCUGGGCUCCCUGGGGCCCAAGCCAGGACGAGCAGGUGAACACACACAGAAGGAACUAAAAGACCUCCUUGCUGGUGGGGUUGUCCUAGAAGGGGGCAGGCGGGUGGGACCCAGAACCUCCUGCAAGAAACCAGAAUACCAUCUGUGGGGCUCAGAGAUUGGUUGGUUUUAAGAAAGAGGCUCCUUUCUACUUAUUUUAAAAAUCAAAAUUAUACAUUCACAGGUAACAAAUGGUCAAAUAACACCUAAGAGGCUUUACUUCAGAAAACAGCAACUGUCCCCCUUCUUUGCCAUUUGCUCUCUUUGAUCUGAGUCACAAGGACCUUCUCCAGUGCUAUCUCCCUCUCCCAGAGUGAUGGCCACCCACUCUGUUACCUGAGCUUUGUAUGAUUGCUUCAUUGGCAAUUUUUUGCAACAAUUUGGUAGUAAUUUGACAGUUAACCUGUUCUUCCAGGUGUAUGGCAUCUCAUAACAGAGUAAAUUAGAUUCUCAUAUGUUUCCAAUUUUCUUAAGAAUCAAUAUUCCUUAUGUUAAAGCCCUGAUAAAAUACAUGUUUGAGUUCCUUGGGAGUGUCCCUGCCACGGUGUUUGGGCCGUGAUUCAAACAGAGAGCCCACAUUUAUCCAAGGGUCUGCCCUGUU
rnacentral:lncRNA from 1 species